rnacentral:rRNA from 1 species
AGAGUUUGAUCCUGGCUCAGGAUGAACGCUAGCGAUAGGCUUAACACAUGCAAGUCGAGGGGCAGCAUAGAUUUAGCUUGCUAAAUUUGAUGGCGACCGGCGCACGGGUGCGUAACGCGUAUGCAACCUACCUGUAAUUAGGGGAUAGCUCGAUGAAAGUCGAAUUAAUACCCUAUAUGCUAUAUAAAUUGCAUGAUUUAUAUAGGAAAGAUUUAUUGAUUACAGAUGGGCAUGCGUUCCAUUAGCUAGUUGGUAAGGUAACGGCUUACCAAGGCGACGAUGGAUAGGGGGACUGAGAGGGAAAGCCUGAACCAGCCAAAUCGCGUGAAGGACGAAGGUCUUAUGGAUUGUAAACUUCUUUUGUAGAGGAAUAAUGGCAGUUACGUGUAACUGAGAUGCAUGUACUCUACGAAUAAGCAUCGGCUAACUCCGUGCCAGCAGCCGCGGUAAUACGGAGGAUGCGAGCGUUAUCCGGAUUUAUUGGGUUUAAAGGGUGUGUAGGUGGUUUUUUAAGUCAGAGGUGAAAAGCUGUAGCUCAACUAUAGUCUUGCCUUUGAAACUGGAGAACUAGAGAGAAGACGAGGUAUGCGGAAUGUGUAGUGUAGCGGUGAAAUGCAUAGAUAUUACACAGAACGCCGAUUGCGAAGGCAGCGUACCAGGCUUUAUCUGACACUAAAGCACGAAAGCGUGGGUAUCAAACAGGAUUAGAUACCCUGGUAGUCCACGCUGUAAACGAUGAAUACUAGAUUUUUGCGAUAUACAGUAAGAGUCUAAGCGAAAGCGAUAAGUAUUCCACCUGGGGAGUACGCCGGCAACGGUGAAACUCAAAGGAAUUGACGGGGGCCCGCACAAGCGGAGGAACAUGUGGUUUAAUUCGAUGAUACGCGAGGGCUGCAUGGUUGUCGUCAGCUCGUGCCGUGAGGUGUCGGCUUAAGUGCCAUAACGAGCGCAACCCGCGUUGAUAGUUACUAACAGGUAAAGCUGAGGACUCUAUCAAGACUGCCGUCGUAAGGCGAGAGGAAGGAGCGGAUGACGUCAAAUCAGCACGGCCCUUACAUCCAGGGCGACACACGUGUUACAAUGGCAAGGACAACGGGAAGCCACGUAGCGAUACGGAGCAGAUCCUCAAACCUUGUCCCAGUUCGGAUCGGAGUCUGCAACUCGACUCCGUGAAGCUGGAUUCGCUAGUAAUCGCGCAUCAGCCAUGGCGCGGCGGGGGUACCUGAAGAAUGUAACCGCAAGGAGCGUUUAAGGGUAAUACUGGUGACUGGGGCUAAGUCGUAACAAGGUAGCCGUACCGGAAGGUGUGGCUG